CUCGUCCUGGGUUGCUGAGACCUGGGGAGUUUUGUAAGUCCUCCAGGUUUAAAUGUUUGUUUGUUUUGAGCAGGUCUGAAGAGAGCUGGAAGGUGCUCAGGGAAGCAAAUGCAGAUCUCUGGGACCCGCUGCUGAUUCGUGGGUGGAGGGUGCGGAGGGGGACAGGUCCAAAUAAGAACUAGGACUCCUCACGGGGAAAGAGAUUCAUCGCUGCAUCACACUCGUGGCUGGCGCUGGAGGAAGAGAGAGGACUCACCAGGCCUGUCCUGAGCUGUUGGUACCAACAGGGUGUUACAGCAACCUGAAUCCUGUGGAGAGACCAAGCGACACUUGGAGGGUUGGAGAACUCAGGUUUAUUAUGACCACGGGCCCAGAGGAGUUAACCCUACAAGCUCUGGACCCCAUCUGGGUGGAAAAUCAAGCCAGUCAAGAAGCAGUUCAGGACACGUGUCUCCUGCCUUCCAGGCGGCCAUGCAUCAGGAUUUUACUCCAUCCAAUUUUUCUGUUUAAGCUCUUCCACCAAAGCUCCAGCUUCACAAGGCCCUGACUGUAGAUUCUAACCAAGGAGGGCAAAGCAUAGCCGUCCCCCAAGGGAAGGAAGCCGGCACCAGGGCUGCAAGUCACCAGAGGGAAACAGCGGCCGAGAAGCAUACCAGGGGCCCGUGACAAGCUGAGUUCCGGGCUCGCAA